AAAGUUUUAAGUUAAAAAAACUAUUAACCUUCAAAGUUAAAAAUAUAUUAUAUCUAAUAUAAGCUUUA
rnacentral:tRNA from 1 species